GACGAACGCUGGCGGCGUGCUUAACACAUGCAAGUCGAACGAAGAGCGCUGGAAGCUUGCUUCUAUCAAUCUUAGUGGCGAACGGGUGAGUAACGCGUAAUCAACCUGCCCUUCAGAGGGGGACAACAGUUGGAAACGCCUGCUAAUACCGCAUACGACCUAAUCUCGGCAUCGAGGAUAGAUGAAAGGUGGCCUCUACAUGUAAGCUAUCACUGCAGGAGGGGAUUGCGUCUGAUUAGCUAGUUGGAGGGGUAACGGCCCACCAAGGCGAUGAUCAGUAGCCGGUCGGAGAGGAUGAGCGGCCACAUUGGGACUGAGACACGCCCCAGAGUCAUACGGGAGGCAGCAGUGGGGAAUCGUCCGCAAUGGACGAAAGUCUGACGGAGCAACGCCGCGUGAGUGAUGACGGCCUUCGGGUUGUAAAGCUCUGUUAAUCGGGACGAAAGGCCUUCUUGCGAACAGUUAGAAGGAUUGACGGUACCGGAAGAGAAAGCCACGGCUAACUACGUG
rnacentral:rRNA from 1 species